rnacentral:tRNA from 1 species
GGGCUGGCUGGAUAGGACGGCGGUUUCCUAAACCGAAGGUCGGAGGUUCGACUCCUCUCGGGACCGCCA